rnacentral:rRNA from 1 species
GCGAGUGAAGUGGGAAGAGCUCAAAUUUUAAAUCACUCAGGUUUCCUGGGUGAAUUGUAAUUUGAAGAAAGUGUUUUGACGUUCGGGUUCGAUUUAAAUCCUUUGGGAUAAGGUAUCAUAGAGGGUUAGAAUCCCGUUUAUGAUUGUUCCUUUGAAUGUCUAUAAUUCACUUUCCAAGAGUCGAGUUGUUUGGGAUUGCAGCUCAAAAUGGGUGGUAAAUUUCACCUAAGGCUAAAUAUGUGCAAGAGACCGAUAGCGAACAAGUACCGUGAGGGAAAGAUGAAAAGAACUUUGAAAAGAGAGUUAAAUAGUACGUGAAAUUGUUGAAAGGGAAACGAUUAAAGUCAGUCAUGUUGGUAGGGAAUCAACUUGAUGGUAUGCGAGUUUACUCGUACUCUUUCUGGUGCACUUCCUUACUUGCAGGUUAGCAUCAAUUUUGGUUAUCAUACAAAAAUUGAGGGAAGGUGGCUUUCUUCGGAAAGUGUUAUAGACCUCGAUAAAUGUGGUGACCGGGAUUGAGGAUUGCAGCGGAUACCCUUUGGGCUAGUCACCUGGCUUCUGAUGGUCAUCCCGCCUUCGAUAGCUUGCUAACGUUGAUAGGACCCGAUUGUCUAGAUGUUAGAGUGAUCAUAAAUUCGCUAAGGAUGC